UACGUAGGGUGCAAGCGUUAAUCGGAAUUACUGGGCGUAAAGCGUGCGCAGGCGGUUGUGCAAGACAGAUGUGAAAUCCCCGGGCUCAACCUGGGAACUGCAUUUGUGACUGCAAGGCUAGAGUACGGCAGAGGGGGAUGGAAUUCCGCGUGUAGCAGUGAAAUGCGUAGAUAUGCGGAGGAACACCAAUGGCGAAGGCAAUCCCCUGGGCCUGUACUGACGCUCAUGCACGAAAGCGUGGGGAGCAAACAGG
rnacentral:rRNA from 1 species